UGAGUAACCUGCCCUGGGCUUUGGGAUAACCCUCGGAAACGGGGGCUAAUACCGAAUAUCCACGCGUGACCGCAUGGUUUUGUGUGGAAAGUUUUUUCGGCCUGGGAUGGGCUCGCGGCCUAUCAGCUUGUUGGUGGGGUGAUGGCCUACCAAGGCGACGACGGGUAGCCGGCCUGAGAGGGCGACCGGCCACACUGGGACUGAGACACGGCCCAGACUCCGUACGGGAGGCAG
rnacentral:rRNA from 1 species